GAUGAACGCUGGCGGCGUGCUUAACACAUGCGAGUCGAACGGAAAGGCCCAAGCUUGCUUGGGUACUCGAGUGGCGAACGGGUGAGUAACACGUGGGUGAUCUGCCCUGCACUUCGGGAUAAGCCUGGGAAACUGGGUCUAAUACCGGAUAGGACCACUUCUUGGAUGUUGUGGUGGAAAGUUUUUUCGGGGUGGGAUGAGCUCGCGGCCUAUCAGCUUGUUGGUGGGGUAAUGGCCUACCAAGGCGUCGACGGGUAGCCGGCCUGAGAGGGUGUACGGCCGCAUUGGGGCUGGGAUACGGCCCAGACGCCUACGGGGGGCAGGAGUGGGGAAUGGUGCACAAUGGGCGCAAGCCUGAUGCAGCGACGCCGCGUGGGGGAUGACGGGCUUCGGGUUGUAAACUCCUUUCGCUAGGGACGAAGCGUUUUGUGACGGUACCUGGAGAAGAAGCACCGGCUAACUACGUG
rnacentral:rRNA from 1 species